CCUCUAGUCUAUAACAUCACAAGGUACCGACUCAAACCCCUAGUCUAUAACAUCACAAGGUACCGACUCAAACCUCUAGUCUAUAACAUCACAAGGUACCGACUCAAACCUCUAGUCUAUAACAUCACAAGGUACCGACUCAAACCUCUAGUCUAUAACAUCACAAGGUACCGGCUCAAACCUCUAGUCUAUAACAUCACAAGGUACCGGCUCAAACCUCUAGUCUAUAACAUCACAAGGUACCGGCUCAAACCUCUAGUCUAUAACAUCACAAGGUACCGGCUCAAACCCCUAGUCUAUAACAUCACAAGGUACCAGCUCAAACCUCUAGUCUAUAACAUCACAAGGUACCGGCUCAAACCUCUAGUCUAUAACAUCACAAGGUACCAGCUCAAACCUCUAGUCUAUAACAUCACAAGGUACCGACUCAAACCUCUAGUCUAUAACAUCACAAGGUACUGGCUCAAACCUCUAGUCUAUAACAUCACAAGGUACCGGCUCAAACCUCUAGUCUAUAACAUCACAAGGUACCGGCUCAAACCUCUAGUCUAUAACAUCACAAGGUACCGGCUCAAACCUCUAGUCUAUAACAUCACAAGGUACCGGCUCAAACCCUAGUCUAUAACAUCACAAGGUACCGGCUCAAACCUCUAGUCUAUAACAUCACAAGGUACCGGCUCAAACCCCUAGUCUAUAACAUCACAAGGUACCGACUCAAACCUCUAGUCUAUAACAUCACAAGGUACCGGCUGAAACCUCUAGUCUAUAACAUCACAAGGUACCGGCUCAAACCUCUAGUCUAUAACAUCACAAGGUACCAGCUCAAACCCCUAGUCUAUAACAUCACAAGGUACCGGCUCAAACCUCUAGUCUAUAACAUCACAAGGUACCGGCUCAAACCUCUAGUCUAUAACAUCACAAGGUACCGGCUCAAACCUCUAGUCUAUAACAUCACAAGGUACCGGCUCAAACCCCUAGUCUAUAACAUCACAAGGUACCGACUCAAACCUCUAGUCUAUAACAUCACAAGGUACCGGCUCAAACCUCUAG